rnacentral:ncRNA from 1 species
UAAAAACAAAUCCAUAAUGCUCGUAUAUAUUUGAGAAUACGGCUCAAACGUUUCUACCAGGCGACCGUAAAUCGCCCGACUACGAGUGAAAGUGCGCCUAGGG